CCAAGCUCUGUAUUUUGCAUUUCAGUGUGUUGUAUCUGUGUUUGAUAGCCAGGCCUGAUGUGCCGUGUACAGCCCCAGCUGCUGUAAACAAGCCUUAAGUGACGUGAGGAAGCUGGGGAGUGGGGGAGGGAAGCGUCCUGUUCUCCUGUGGUUAGGUCUCAGGCUUUCAGUAGCCCCUGCCCCGGCCUGUGAGCUUCACAGGUGUUGUACCUUUUCCCCCCACUCAGGUGAGACAGGUUGGCAAGCACGGGCUGCGGUUUGGCAUUCCCCGCCCCCACCGCGCCCCAGUGGGCGUCUAGAGGCAGCUGGGCUGCGUGCUGCCCGUGCUGCCCGCCUUGCAGGCGCUGAUCAAGCCCCAGCGGGCUGGGCUCUGGUGAAGUAGUCUCUCCAGAGGGCAGGCUUUGUUAGGAGGAACAGAACGCUCUGGCGUGUUUCAAAAUGGUUCUUUCUCCCCUCCUCCUGCCAGAAGCACGAGGAGGUUUUUCUCCCUCACUGUGAGAACCCGGUAGAACUCCAGGAGAUUGAAAAAAAAAAAGAGAGAAGUCCGGAGGCCCCUCCUCCCCCAUCUCAGAUGACUGGACUCCCCUGGAGUUUUUACCACUUGGACUUGUCCAUCCUGAGCCUGCAGCGUUUAGCCAUUUCAGAUGCCUCGUCACUGGGACCUGAAGGUGUUGCAGCUCGCUGGGCUUCUGCUCUGUGCCACAAUGGAACCUGAUUUUCUUCCAGUGACAUUCAUAACCAUGGAUGAGGAAACUAAUGGCACUUUAUUAAAUCUAAAGGUCUUGAGCCUGCCUUCUUUCACCUGAAACUACAUUAUUGGCUCGUCCAGGCUCCCCGCUUGCUGCAAAUCUUAGAACCUGUCAACUUGCUUCAUCAUCUGAAGAUGCAAAAUACAGAAAGCAACCUGACUAGAGCUAUAAACUGAGUGGAAGAGUCAGGAUUCGAGCCUACAUAAUCUGACUCCAAAAGCAACCCUCCUCUCCAGUGCUGAACUGCCUCUCAGGCAGGUGGGAGGUAAAUUACCCUCUGGAUAAUUUAUACACCAGAAGAUCUUCCUCAGAAAUUGCCUCCAAAUGGUCGGGUGAGUCUUCUAAGAAAGGACACACCAAAGCAUAUUUCUUCACUGGGACUCCAGAGGUCCUAUCUGUAGUCUACAACCAGUAAAAUAGCCACAACUCAAUGAAAGUUCCUCUGCCCAACAUACCAGGAAGGCAGAGAGUUCCACACAUCUGUGUAUCUAAAGGUAGGUGGACUGGGACACGCCAAGGAGGUAAAGCCUGGAGAAGAGCUGAGGAAAUGCCCGCAGUCCUGCCCCCAAGCCACAGCAGCUGAGCUCACAGCCCCAGAGAGCCUAGUAGUAGCAGCAGAGGCAGGGCAUGUGACUCCAGCCCCACUCCCUACAAGAGUGGUGCCUGU